CCCAUGCAGCUCCAUCUGCAUCUUGCUCUUAGAAAUAAUUGAUGCGUUCGUCUCUCUAUUUUACGCCCAUGGAUAAUGAGUAUAAUUGGAGGAAUCAGCUCCUGAUUGACACGCACCUGCAUUCAUUUCUAAUUUGGCUUUAAUAAUUUCGGAUUCGCGCCCUCUCUCCCUCUCUCUCUCCCUCUCUCGCUCUUUCCCUCUGAGGCGGAGUUUAUCCCCUCUGCACACCGUGGGCUCUCCGCACUUGUCAGUCGCAGCCUGCACGUGUGAGGGAAAGGACAUCGUGUCGGUCCUUUGCAAAAUCCACAAAGAGACAGGGAGAGAAGGAGGGUGGACACUCUGUAGUCUCGAGUAUCCGAGCUUUUGCGCUAUUUCCUCUCGGAUGCGAUUAAACCUAGACGCACAGGUGAAUUAAAACCCCAGGGUGGAAUUUGAAAUAUUUGGAGGAUAUGGACUGGUGGAGUGGAGUUAGCCUGAUGUGCAAAAAAAUGCUGGGAAUUUCAGCCCCUUAUUUAUCACCUCACAAUGAAGUCAAGCUGCCACCAGACAAGAUGAGGAGCAGCAAUCAGCCUGCAGAUGGAAACAAGGGUGGGUGGUUGGAAGGCUGGAUAAAGGCUGCUGGAUGACUGAACUCAGAGACCCGGCGCAGCUCAUCAUCAUUGCCAUGGGCUCUUGUCUUCUUCCUCUCCUCCUGUGGCUUGUACCUCCAUCCAGGGGUCCAGUAGAGCCAGUGAAGCCCAGGCGGGGAGCUAGUGAGUGGGCCGGGAAGGAUGGAGAAGGUCCCCAAAGGCUCAGAUCACCUCUGGAGCUACCGGCAUGCAGGAGAAAUCAAUAUGAAACAGAAAACCUUCACAGCUCUGAGUGGGGUUUCCUGUGUUUUAAGUGUGUGGCCUACGGGCCUGCAGACCUCCAAAAGACAGGUCCUGUGUGGUUCUCUCAGCUGCAGCCCUGGCUCCUUGGACUGGACCUCAGUCCCAAUCUCCACUGGCUGUGUGUGUGGUUCUGCUGAAGGGGAUUUCUCCCCAAAUAAUACCCAAUGCCCAGAACGUUGAAAGACUGCCAAGAGGGAUGCUCCUUUCUCUUGCCUUUUUUUUCCAUCAUAAGAUUGACGUAUCCCCCCAACCUCCUGCCUCAGGCUGAUAAAAAAAAUUAAAAAAAACACAGUUCGGGAGCUCUACUUUUGACUCAUUCUCCAUCCUCGACUCGCCCGUUGUUUAUUCCCCCAACUAGUUUUUACAUUUGACAAAGAGACAGAUCUUUAUUUUCUCCACCACUCGCUUGGCUUGCUGUUACUAUGGUGAGCUGUAGACACGUGUCUGUUCAAACAAGAAAUACUGGCACACGAAGUAUGAGCUUUUUUUUUUCUCCAUGAUGUCUAUUAUUCAAUUUCAGACUGUUUAAAAAAAAACUGACUGAACAGCAAAGAGGGCUGGAGAUCAUAGAGCAGAGAGACCUUGUAGUGGAGAUGGUAAAAUGGCAAGUAUCUCUCUUUAGCACUUCACAUUUUCCACUCUAUGAACUACUCUGAAUGUGCUGUCAUUACAUCACACAUUGCCUAAAAUAGCCUGUGACAGGGAGAGAUGGUAACUCGGCAUCCUUUGAGGCCGAUUUAGGAUUACAGCUGUGAAAAAAAAGAGGUGUUUCUUUAAUUAUAAGAUGCCACUCGUGCUUUCAAUCUGUACUCUCGCUGUAUAAUUCUUAUCUACAUCACAGAGCCGUGUGUGUGUGUGUGUAAAUGGACUGUAUAUGUUUGGCCUUGAGUGUUUGAGCUGCGAGCAGCAGCAGCAGUGUGCACCCACAUCUCCCAAACUGCUGUCGUCGUCACAGUAAUGCGGCGUGGUUGUUUCCAUCCAGAUGGGCACAGCUUCAGACAAAAUGGCCGCCAGUCUUUCCCUCUGCCAAAAAAUGGCGAGUGCAUCCCCGUUGUCUGCCAUCUGUGCGUCGGUUAGCUGUUGUCGUCGAAUGCAAAUCAAGGCUAAUUGCAUUUGCAUAACCUCCGAACAUCACGUCGUCGGCAUGAGCUGGUAAUUGAUCCUACGAAGGCGCACGUUGGCGACAAGCGAGCAGGAGCGAAGUGAUGUUUUAAAGCGUACUCCAUGCCGUUUCUUUUUGGGUUUUGGUGGGGGGGAGUUUCUUUCAAGGUGCGAGUAUUCGCACCCAGAAAUGUGUUUGAUAGGUGUUCGGUCCAUGCUAGAUCAACUGUCUAGACAUACUGUGCCAUAUGGUGCGCUUGCUUGCAUGUGAUUCCCUCGCAUGCAAAUGUGACACUGUACAAAAGAUUAAGCUGGGGCUUUGUUUAAUCAGAUCGCGCUCUGUCACGCAUGCACACUCGCAGUUGGGGUUUUUUUUUUUUUUUUUACACACAGACAUACAUAAUGCACAGAUGAAAGCAUUAAGCAAACAGAGAGGCUCAGACAUGCACACAGACUCUAAUUAAGUAGGGAUCCAUAGGCCCAACAAACUCCAGACACACAGACCAUAAUAGUCUCAUUUUCAUGCACAUGGGUGUCUGGUUACCAUGGCACUGAGCAAAUCAUGGGGUGACUGAUUUUGCUAGAAAAGAGCUGCAGAUGAAAAAUAUAAAUAGGCCGCAGCACAAAAAUUGCCGCCUGAAGACUGGCGGAUUGUAGCUUUGAAGUAUCGCAUGAAAAACGGGAGACGCCUCAGCUGCACCUAUUUGAGACUUUGGAAAUGCACCUUUUUAUAA